UACGUAGGCAGCGAGCGUUGUUCGGAGUUACUGGGCGUAAAGAGUGCGUAGGCGGUGUUCCAAGUCUGUUGUGAAAUCUCCCGGCUCAACUGGGAGGGUGCGGCGGAAACUGGGACGCUGGAGUACGGGAGAGGUAAGCGGAAUUCCUGGUGUAGCGGUGAAAUGCGUAGAUAUCAGGAGGAACACCUGCGGUGUAGACGGCUUGCUGGACCGUAACUGACGCUGAGGCACGAAAGCGUGGGUAGCAAACAGG
rnacentral:rRNA from 1 species